UUCCUGCUGUGGACUAGUUUAAGAGAAGAAUCAAGUAUGGUCUUCUGGGCUCAAAUUGGCAACAGAUGCAUGUUAAUGUAAAUUGAGGGAAGCAAUAAUUGUAUUGGAUUUUUAAAGUAGAUAUGUAAUAAAAACUAGGAGGAAAAGUGUUUGAAAAUCAUUAUAACAGAUGAUUUAAAAACCAUUGUGAAUGAAGUUUGAAAUAAGUAUAUUACAGGAUGCCAAGGACCUAAAAUGCCAAAAACCAUCAAGGAUGGUUUCCAACGUGCACAAAAGAAAGCUAAUAACUUGGACAAUUUCAAAAGCCAUGGAUGGAUGGAUCGAUAAAUAAGUUAUAGAUCCAAAAAUACUCUGCCUCAUAUACUAAUCAGCUCAGAUGGUUAUUCAUGUGGCUGUGUCAUAAGCCUGUCUUAUAAGAUUGAGAAAGUUGUUUAGCUUCUUGGAAGUAUAUUCAGGACCCUAGGUGUUCUCAACCCAAUGGGAUUAGCAGUUUAAUGUAUGUGUGGACUGAAAUAGGAGUUCACCUUUCAAACACUCCUAAAUUUGAAGGUUCCAACUUGCUUGUAAAGCCUAUUUGUUUCCAUCUCUAUUACAACUUGGAAAAGAAUCUAUCGGUUGACUAAUAGGCACCUUCAGUUUAGCAUCAACUUGGAUGCUUCUUGAUCUGCCUGCUAAAGAAGGGUGCUGUAUGGCCACAUUAUUUGUUUCCCAUGGCUUGGUGGGCUAAUCUGUGGAGAAGGCCUCUGUUCAUCAUUUUGCUUCUUGGGCCACCUGAAAAUGUCCUUAAUGGCCUAACCUGCUAUUGUUGGAAAGGUCCAUGUAAUCCCAAUUUUUGUGUCGACACCAAGA
rnacentral:lncRNA from 1 species